GUGAAUCAUCGAAUUUUUGAACGCAAAUUGCACUCUCUUCUGAGAGUAUGACUGUUUGAGGGUCAGGCUAUAAAAAAUCGACAUCGUCGCUGUUUCGCGGUGUCGUUCGUCGGAAAUUGGGUCAUUUUAACUCCUUUUGAUUUAAGCGACUUAAAAUUUUCUUUUGGUUCUAUGUACGUUUCUAAGAUUUAU
rnacentral:misc_RNA from 1 species